rnacentral:lncRNA from 1 species
GCGUCUCUCCCGCAGUCUCUCCCUGAUGCUCUGUCCGGCCGCCUUCCUUGCUUCUCAGAUGCGUGUGACUAGAUUGGGCCCACCUGGGUAACCAGGCUACUUUCCCAUCUCCAGGUCCACACCCUUCAUUCCACCUGCUGUCCUUUGGCCGGAUGGAAACUGAAAGAAACUUCAGUGGAAGCCGAGGCACAGACGGGGAGCUGGAGAGAGUCAGGGCAGAUCGUGUGAUUGCAGCUGGCUGAUCCGGAGACCGGCAGCCUGGAAACAGUGACUGGUCCAGAACUGGGCGUGUGAUUCAAGGAGGGCCAACCAGAGUUCAUCUGAGGGAGAUUGCUAGCGGUGUUGGGAGAGAGGACCUCCGUGAAAGCCCAUUGUUCCCUCCACUAGGAACUAGCCUCCUUGGUAUUUGACCCGUCACAGAGGAGAGCAGAACUGAGACCUGGGGAGAGACACGGUUCUUGAGGACGUGGAACCUCUGGAUCCAGCCAUGCCUGAAGAUGGCAUUGGGUUCCCAGUUAAAUGAGCCAAUCAAUGCUCUUUUUCACUUGAGCCGGUUUGAACUGGGUUCUGUGACUCAGCCCAAAGAGACCUGACUGGCCCAGAGUCAUGCUUGGUGUCCCUUCCUCCACCAUCCAUCUGACCAUCAUCUGGGCAUCUCCCUGCCUAACCUUGCUCCUCUCUGUCUCCUGGUCCUUCACCAUCCUUCAGGCUUUUAAUCUACUUCUUUCCACUGGUCACCAAAAGUGAGAGGAGAUGAGGGAAAGGAAGACACGGUGGAAGGAGGCAAUGGAAUGGGGAGGCAGAGAUGUGUCUUUCGAGUUGAGGGAGCCUGAGAACUGAGGAUGCAACCGUAGCAACCUGGUGGGUUUACACAGCCUGGUAGUCAACAAGCUGCUCUCCUACCCGGAGUCCUCUCCUGGGUCCCCGGGGUGAUUUAGUA